AUCAAUACUCUACUUUCCUACAUGCUUUUAACCGAUUACUCUUUCUCUCUCUUUCCAUGAGCUCUUCCUUUUCUCUGUUUUCCUUUCUCUUUUCCAUUCUAACCCUAGCGACUUCUUCACUGUGAGCACGGUCAAAUCUACCGCAAAUUUAUUCAAUAUCUCAAGAAUUUGUUCAUUGAAAAUGGAUAUCUGAAUCCAGUUCAGGGUUUAGGAAAAGUGUUAGAUUUUGUGAGAGUUUAUGAGUUGAAAAGAAUGAAAUCUGCAAGGAUCUCUGGUUUAAGAUUUGUAAUCUAGAAAUUAGAAAGGAGAAGCAUCUCAGUGUUGAUGCAAGAAAAACAAAAGUACUUGGAAAUUAGAAAGGAGCAGCAUCUCAGUUUUUCAUGUGUAGUUUUUUCCAGAUCUUAGUGGAUUGUGGUGCAUAAUGUUUGACAUUGAUGUUGCAGGGCAUUGCGUUUAUGGUUAUGAAGGCAAUGCAGUAGCACAUAACAGGAAAAUCGAGUCAGCUGGUACUAUGAAGUUUAUGGUUAAUAGGAAACUUUCUGCAUUACAAUUAGAACGACUAAGGGAUUCAAGGAAAAUCGAGUCAGCUGGUACUAUGAAGUUUUUCCAACUUUUAACAAGACUGGCAAAUCCCCUGAUUUCCCUUUUGAAUGCAACUGCUUCCCCGAGCUUGAGCAUGAAAACAAAGUUGGCAACAUGGUCUUCUGGGAAAAUGAAUGCAUACAAUAUGUUGGCAUGUCAACUUUUUCCUUAAGACAAAUUGUGAAGCAGAUUAGGGUUAAUGAAAGAGUUGUUUGCUCUUAAGGCCGUAAUCAAAUGCAUUGAAGAACAUAAGCUUGAUGAGCAAUAUCCUAUGGAUCCUCUCUAAAAUCAAGUGAUCCAACUAGAGAAGGCCAAGACCGACAAGAAGCAAGAAACUGAAGUAACAAAACCUCAUCCAAAUAGGCCUCGUGCUAAUGGUGUCGAAUAUGGUCCUUAUGUCACUAGCGUUACUUCAGACAAAAUCUCCUAUGCUAGAGUUGCUGACAGAUCGAUUUUGCAUUUGAUGAUGCUGAUGGUGUAGAAGAAGGAACAUUUGUUACUAUCAUUUGACGGCGGAAACAGAAAAGUGAGGAAUCCAUAAUACAGGAGAAGUUCAUACUGAAUGCUGCCGAUAAACUAGCGUUCAUUAUCGAAGAAAGCCAGUAUAAAGGUGGUCUGGAAGGUUCUAUUCCAGUUUUAAUUCAGCCUGCAAGCAUUUAUGCUAAUUAUAAGCUUUUUGAAUAUUUCUGGUGUAUAUUUGCUUUUAAUAUGAAAGUGUUCCUUGUAGCUUAACUGGUUGGCAAUUUGCUUUUAAUAUGAAAGCGUUCUUUGUUGCAAAAAAUCCUUGAUAAAGUUGAUGGUGUUGUCGACCAUGGUGUCAUUUCGAAAAUCCCGUUAAUUUUCUCUCUCAAAUUUUAUAUGACAAUGACAAACUUAAAGGUGUAUCUCAUUUAGUUUUGUUCUUAUGUAACAAAGAUGCACAGUGGUAGUUGCCUCUCCUAAUGGGUUGAAAGUGUUAGAAAAAAUUGACUACAAAUAUAGUAGGGAUAGACUUCACUAUGUAAGACGAUAUUUGCACCUCAUAUAGCCGCCUCUUGUCACUGGAAAUACUGUUUUUUCUAUACUCUUUGUUGAUUACCCUGUCGACAAAGUUUCCUGUUAUGUAUCAGAUGAUAGUUCGUCUAUGUUAACUUUUGAAGCCUUAUCAGGGAAAUCAGAGAAAUCGGAAAAAUCUGCGCAGCUAUAUAAAUAAGCUGUUAUUGAUGACUCACAAUGCUAAUAUAUGCGUGAUUUUUAAAUUUCAUCCUUAAACUACAUGGCUAAUUGGCUAUAAUGUUACAGAUUAAGAUUAAGAAUGCACUGCCAAAGCUACAAGUAUUCAAUGCCACACCUUUAUCGUUUUGUAGUUCAAUGCCUUGAGUAAUAUAAUAUUUAACUUCUUUAUGGUGUAUGGUGCAUUCCAAAAGUAUGUGCAGACCAUUAAUUUGUUUCGCUUGCCAAAGCUACAAGUAUUUAAUGUCAGACCAUUAAUUUGUUUCACUUGAGACUAUAACAUGACACAAAUUUGCUUUGAAACUAUAACAAAUUUAAAUUUAUUAAUGCGCAUACCUUUGGCUCGCCUUGAGAAGCUAAUAUGGAUCGAAGAAGAUCAAAAGGAUAUGAACCAACAGUAGCUGCACACUCAGCUAGGGCGCCACUUACAUAUGAUAGAAAAGGGCUCAAAUUAGUGUGGUUC